UCCCCGGCUAGGCAUGGCGUCAUGAACCAUGCCGAAAAGGCGGAUAGCCUUGUCGCCCUGCCGGGGAUCUAUCAAGGG
rnacentral:sRNA from 12 species